rnacentral:rRNA from 1 species
UCGGGUGACAGGGAGACAGGUGGUGCAUGGUUGUCGUCAGCUCGUGUCGUGAGAUGUUGGGUUAAGUCCCGCAACGAGCGCAACCCCUAUUGUUAGUUGCCAUCAUUCAGUUGGGCACUCUAGCGAGACUGCCGGUAAUAAACCGGAGGAAGGUGGGGAUGACGUCAAAUCAUCAUGCCCCUUAUGACCUGGGCUACACACGUGCUACAAUGGUUGGUACAACGAGUUGCGAGUCGGUGACGGCGAGCUAAUCUCUUAAAGCCAAUCUCAGUUCGGAUUGUAGGCUGCAACUCGCCUACAUGAAGUCGGAAUCGCUAGUAAUCGCGGAUCAGCACGCCGCGGUGAAUACGUUCCCGGGCCUU